GAUGAACGCUGGCGGCGUGCCUAAUACAUGCAAGUCGAGCGAACGGACGAGAAGCUUGCUUCUCUGAUGUUAGCGGCGGACGGGUGAGUAACACGUGGAUAACCUACCUAUAAGACUGGGAUAACUUCGGGAAACCGGAGCUAAUACCGGAUGAUAUUUUGAACCGCAUGGUUCAAAAGUGAAAGACGGUCUUGCUGUCACUUAUAGAUGGAUCCGCGCUGCAUUAGCUAGUUGGUAAGGUAACGGCUUACCAAGGCAACGAUGCAUAGCCGACCUGAGAGGGUGAUCGGCCACACUGGAACUGAGACACGGUCCAGACUCCUACGGGAGGCAGCAGUAGGGAAUCUUCCGCAAUGGGCGAAAGCCUGACGGAGCAACGCCGCGUGAGUGAUGAAGGUCUUCGGAUCGUAAAACUCUGUUAUUAGGGAAGAACAUAUGUGUAAGUAGCUGUGCACAUCUUGACGGUACCUAAUCAGAAAGCCACGGCUAACUACGU
rnacentral:rRNA from 1 species